rnacentral:rRNA from 1 species
AACCAACGCUGGCGGCAGGCUUAACACAUGCAAGUCGAGCGCCCCGCAAGGGGAGCGGCCGACGGGUGAGUAACGCGUGGGAACGUACCUUUUGGUUCGGAACAACUCCGGGAAACUGGAGCUAAUACCGGAUAAGCCCUAACGGGGAAAGAUUUAUCGCCGAAAGAUCGGCCCGCGUCUGAUUAGCUAGUUGGUGAGGUAACGGCUCACCAAGGCGACGAUCAGUAGCUGGUCUGAGAGGAUGAUCAGCCACACUGGGACUGAGACACGGCCCAGACUCCUACGGGAGGCAGCAGUGGGGAAUAUUGGACAAUGGGCGCAAGCCUGAUCCAGCCAUGCCGCGUGAGUGAUGAAGGCCUUAGGGUUGUAAAGCUCUUUUGUCCGGGAAGAUAAUGACUGUACCGGAAGAAUAAGCCCCGGCUAACUUCGUG